UUGAAAUUGGGCCUUCUCUUGCCGGUUCUUCCUGGAGUUGGUAAAAGCUGGGUUGAGAGGGCGAAAAAAAAAAAAG
rnacentral:pre_miRNA from 1 species